rnacentral:rRNA from 1 species
GGUGAAGGAACUAGGCAAAAUGGCACCGUAACUUCGGGAGAAGGUGCGCCGGCUAGGGUGAAGGAUUUACUCCGUAAGCUCUGGCUGGUCGAAGAUACCAGGCCGCUGCGACUGUUUAUUAAAAACACAGCACUCUGCAAACACGAAAGUGGACGUAUAGGGUGUGACGCCUGCCCGGUGCCGGAAGGUUAAUUGAUGGGGAUAGCGCAAGCGAAGCUCUUGAUCGAAGCCCCGGUAAACGGCAGCCGUAACGAUAACGGUCCUAAGGUAGCGAAAUUCCUUGUCGGGUAAGUUCCGACCUGCACGAAUGGCGUAACGAUGGCGGCGCUGUCUCCACCCGAGACUCAGUGAAAUUGAAAUCGCUGUGAAGAUGCAGUGUAUCCGCGGCUAGACGGAAAGACCCCGUGAACCUUUACUGUAGCUUUGCACUGGACUUUGAGCCUGCUUGUGUAGGAUAGGUGGGAGGCUUUGAAGCGUGGACGCCAGUUCGCGUGGAGCCAUCCUUGAAAUACCUCCCUGGCAUGCUUGAGGUUCUAACUCUGGUCCGUAAUCCGGAUCGAGGACAGUGUAUGGUGGGCAGUUUGACUGGGGCGGCCUCCUCCUAAAGAGUAACGGAGGAGUACGAAGGUGCGCUCAGACCGGUCGGAAAUCGGUCGCAGAGUAUAAAGGCAAAAGCGCGCUUGACUGCGAGACAGACACGUCGAGCAGGUACGAAAGUAGGUCUUAGUGAUCCGGUGGUUCUGUAUGGAAGGGCCAUCGCUCAACGGAUAAAAGGUACUCCGGGGAUAACAGGCUGAUACCGCCCAAGAGUUCAUAUCGACGGCGGUGUUUGGCACCUCGAUGUCGGCUCAUCACAUCCUGGGGCUGAAGCCGGUCCCAAGGGUAUGGCUGUUCGCCAUUUAAAGUGGUACGCGAGCUGGGUUUAGAACGUCGUGAGACAGUUCGGUCCCUAUCUGCCGUGGACGUUUGAGAUUUGAGAGGGGCUGCUCCUAGUACGAGAGGACCGGAGUGGACGAACCUCUGGUGUUCCGGUUGUCACGCCAGUGGCGUUGCCGGGUAGCUAUGUUCGGAAAAGAUAACCGCUGAAAGCAUCUAAGCGGGAAACUUGCCUCAAGAUGAGAUCUCACUGGGAACUUGAUUCCCCUGAAGGGCCGUCGAAGACUACGACGUUGAUAGGCUGGGUGUGUAAGCGUUGUGAGGCGUUGAGCUAACCAGUACUAAUUGCCCGU